rnacentral:rRNA from 1 species
GUGGGGAAUUUUGGACAAUGGGGGCAACCCUGAUCCAGCCAUGCCGCGUGAGUGAAGAAGGCCUUCGGGUUGUAAAGCUCUUUCGGACGGAAAGAAAACGGAUGGGUUAAUACCCUGUUCGGAUGACGGUACCGUCAUAAGAAGCACCGGCUAACUACGUGCCAGCAUCCGCGGUAAUACGUAGGGUGCGAGCGUUAAUCGGAAUUACUGGGCGUAAAGCGUGCGCAGGCGGUUGAUUAAGACAGGCGUGAAAUCCCCGGGCUUAACCUGGGAACUGCCUUUGUGACUGCAAGGCUGGAGUGCGGCAGAGGGGGAUGGAAUUCCGCGUGUAGCAGUGAAAUGCGUAGAUAUGCGGAGGAACACCGAUGGCGAAGGCAAUCCCCUGGGCCUGCACUGACGCUCAUGCACGAAAGCGUGGGGAGCAAACAGGAUUAGAAACCCUAGUAGUCC